GUGUGAACACAUUGAGACUAUAACCUCUAUAUUUCAGAAAGUAGGCAACAAACCCAGCCACAGGAUCUUUCGUCAUCUUGAUCUUGGACUUCACAACUUCAGAACUAGUAAAUGAAGCUGGAUGUAUACUUUGGCUCAGUUAUCCAUCAUGAUUCAUGCUGAAGAAGUCUUGCAAGAUCCUGGCAAGCAGGAAAAACAGGGCCAUCCCCAAAUGCCACCCACCAGGUGAAAAGUACAUUAUUUUAUAAUGAGGAGUCAGCCCAGGCAUCUUUUCAGGGCUAUCCAGCAGGCUGCAUUGGAACUGCUUCUCCUACAGAAUGAUAUUGGACAAAUAAAGAGGCUGAGGAUUCUUCUGGAGCCUCAAGGACAUUCAACAAGAGGAAGAAUUAUUCCUAGGUUUCCAAGUAAUGGGGAAAGGGGG
ensembl:lncRNA